GAUGAACGCUGGCGGCGUGCCUAAUACAUGCAAGUAGAACGCUGAAGCUUGGUGCUUGCACCGAGCGGAUGAGUUGCGAACGGGUGAGUAACGCGUAGGUAACCUGCCUCUUAGCGGGGGAUAACUAUUGGAAACGAUAGCUAAUACCGCAUAAAAGACGAUAUCGCAUGAUAUUGAUUUGAAAGAUGCAAUUGCAUCACUAAGAGAUGGACCUGCGUUGUAUUAGCUAGUUGGUGAGGUAACGGCUCACCAAGGCGACGAUACAUAGCCGACCUGAGAGGGUGAUCGGCCACACUGGGACUGAGACACGGCCCAGACUCCUACGGGAGGCAGCAGUAGGGAAUCUUCGGCAAUGGGGGCAACCCUGACCGAGCAACGCCGCGUGAGUGAAGAAGGUUUUCGGAUCGUAAAGCUCUGUUGUAAGAGAAGAACGAGUGUGAGAGUGGAAAGUUCACACUGUGACGGUAACUUACCAGAAAGGGACGGCUAACUACGUGCCAGCAGCCGCGGUAAUACGUAGGUCCCGAGCGUUAUCCGGAUUUAUUGGGCGUAAAGCGAGCGCAGGCGGUUAGAUAAGUCUGAAGUUAAAGGCUGUGGCUUAACCAUAGUACGCUUUGGAAACUGUUUAACUUGAGUGCAGAAGGGGAGAGUGGAAUUCCAUGUGUAGCGGUGAAAUGCGUAGAUAUAUGGAGGAACACCGGUGGCGAAAGCGGCUCUCUGGUCUGUAACUGACGCUGAGGCUCGAAAGCGUGGGGAGCAAACAGG
rnacentral:rRNA from 1 species